rnacentral:rRNA from 1 species
ACGGAGGGUGAAAGCGUUAAUCGGAAUUACUGGGCGUAAAGCGAACGCAGGCGGUUUGUUAAGUCAGAUGUGAAAUCCCCGGGAUCAAACUGGGAACUGCAUCUGAUACUGGCAAGCUUGAGUCUCGUAGAGGGGGGUAGAAUUCCAGGUGUAGCGGUGAAAUGCGUAGGGAUCUGGAGGAAUACCAGUGGCGAAGGCGGCCCCCUGGACGAAGACUGACUCUCAGGUGCGAAAGCGUGGGGAGCAAACAU